UGACGUCAAAUCAGCAGGCCCUUACGUCCAGGGCUACACACGUGCUACAAUGGCCGAUACAGAGGGCAGCUACCUGGUGACAGGAUGCAAAUCUCCAAAGUCGGUCUCAGUUCGGAUCGGAGUCUGCAACCCGACUCCGUGAAGUUGGAUUCGCUAGUAAUCGCGCAUCAGCCAUGGCGCGGUGAAUACGUUCCCGGGCCUU
rnacentral:rRNA from 1 species